rnacentral:rRNA from 1 species
GACGAACGCUUGCGGCGUGCUUAACACAUGCAAGUCGAACGGAAAGGCCCUGCUUUUGUGGGGUGCUCGAGUGGCGAACGGGUGAGUAACACGUGAGUAACCUGCCCUUGACUUUGGGAUAACUUCAGGAAACUGGGGCUAAUACCGGAUAGGAGCUCCUGCUGCAUGGUGGGGGUUGGAAAGUUUCGGCGGUUGGGGAUGGACUCGCGGCUUAUCAGCUUGUUGGUGGGGUAGUGGCUUACCAAGGCUUUGACGGGUAGCCGGCCUGAGAGGGUGACCGGCCACAUUGGGACUGAGAUACGGCCCAGACUCCUACGGGAGGCAGCAGUGGGGAAUAUCGCACAAUGGGCGGAAGCCUGAUGCAGCAACGCCGCGUGCGGGAUGACGGCCUUCGGGUUGUAAACCGCUUUCGCCUGUGACGAAGCGUGAGUGACGGUAAUGGGUAAAGAAGCACCGGCUAACUACGUGCCAGCAGCCGCGGUGAUACGUAGGGUGCGAGCGUUGUCCGGAUUUAUUGGGCGUAAAGGGCUCGUAGGUGGUUGAUCGCGUCGGAAGUGUAAUCUUGGGGCUUAACCCUGAGCGUGCUUUCGAUACGGGUUGACUUGAGGAGAGUAGGGGAGAAUGGAAUUCCUGGUGGAGCGGUGGAAUGCGCAGAUAUCAGGAGGAACACCAGUGGCGAAGGCGGUUCUCUGGGCCUUUCCUGACGCUGAGGAGCGAAAGCGUGGGGAGCGAACAGGCUUAGAUACCCUGGUAGUCCACGCUGUAAACGGUGGGUACUAGGUGUGGGGUCCAUUCCACGGGUUCCGUGCCGUAGCUAACGCUUUAAGUACCCCGCCUGGGGAGUACGGCCGCAAGGCUAAAACUCAAAGGAAUUGACGGGGCCCCGCACAAGCGGCGGAGCAUGCGGAUUAAUUCGAUGCAACGCGUAGAACCUUACCUGGGUUUGACAUGGAUCGGGAGUGCUCAGAGAUGGGUGUGCCUCUUUUGGGGUCGGUUCACAGGUGGUGCAUGGCUGUCGUCAGCUCGUGUCGUGAGAUGUUGGGUUAAGUCCCGCAACGAGCGCAACCCUUGUUCACUGUUGCCAGCACGUUAUGGUGGGGACUCAGUGGAGACCGCCGGGGUCAACUCGGAGGAAGGUGGGGAUGACGUCAAGUCAUCAUGCCCCUUAUGUCCAGGGCUUCACGCAUGCUACAAUGGCUGGUACAGAGAGUGGCGAGCCUGUGAGGGUGAGCGAAUCUCGGAAAGCCGGUCUCAGUUCGGAUUGGGGUCUGCAACUCGACCUCAUGAAGUCGGAGUCGCUAGUAAUCGCAGAUCAGCAACGCUGCGGUGAAUACGUUCCCGGG